rnacentral:rRNA from 1 species
GGGCCCGCACAAGCGGUGGAGCAUGUGGUUUAAUUCGAUGAUACGCGAGGAACCUUACCAGGGCUUAAAUGUAGUUUGACCGGUCUGGAAACAGACUUUCUCUUCGGAGCAGAUUACAAGGUGCUGCAUGGUUGUCGUCAGCUCGUGCCGUGAGGUGUUAGGUUAAGUCCUGCAACGAGCGCAACCCCUAUUCUUAGUUGCCAGCGGUUCGGCCGGGGACUCUAAGAAGACUGCCAGCGCAAGCUGAGAGGAAGGUGGGGAUGACGUCAAAUCAUCACGGCCCUUACGUCCUGGGCUACACACGUGCUACAAUGGUAGAGACAGAGGGCAGCCACCUGGUGACAGGGAGCGAAUCCUUAAACUCUAUCUCAGUUCGGAUCGAAGUCUGCAACUCGACUUCGUGAAGCUGGAAUCGCUAGUAAUCGC